CCUUUGUAACUAAGAUCUUUGCCUGCAAUGAGGAAUUGCAGAGGAACCAAACGAUCCAUGGUCUGACAGACUUGAAGUCCCUCCUCUUUUACAGCUGUGACCAGAGAGUCACCUUGCACUGCAAACCGAGUAACCUCAACAUGCAGGUAAGUAGGAGAUGUGCAGCUGGCAUGUAAGACACGCAUGCAGCCUGCUAGCAAGCAUGUAGGUGGCACUAGUAGCGCCAAACACCUCAUCAGCAGAGGGACUACAUAGCAAAGGGGAUCAAAGCCAUGCCUUCCCCCAGGAGUAGUCUCUCCUCCACCAGGAAGAAGCAGCCUCCAGCCUUGAAAGCGAAGAACUCCCAGCACCUUCCCCUUUCACACAGGAGUCAGACUCUGGUUCGUCACUGAGAGCCACAGAGACUCCUCCUCCAACAAGAACAAUUGCAUGACCUGGAUAAGACCCUCCAGGGUACCAGAGUCACUGUAAAUGGUACUUCGUGCUUUUCUAUAUUUUGCAUGAUUAGACUUUGUCAGCAGCUUCCAGACAGCAUGAACUAAUGUUUAGUUGGUAAUAAUAGGAACAAUUAUUACAUAACCCCCACAGUUACAUCUGGCAUAGUAUGGUACUACACCCUAAUACAUGUAAAAGUAAGUAGGACAAGCUUGGCACGUUAGCAGACCUGCCACCGAAGCUCAUGUCCUAUAACCGCCAUGAUUCAUCCACUAAACUAACCCUUGAAAACUAGACCGUGUUCUUAACGGCUCCCCAAGGAGACCUGUACACUUUGUCCUCCAUCACCUCAACCUCGACCGCCGACACGGAGAUUUUGACCUUGACCCGACAGAGAUUUUGACAUUUUCAGAGGUCAAAACCAAACCGCCGACGACACCCUUCAAAGACAGCAUCCAGCUGAAGGGACCAAAUUGGUAAACUAAGUCUCAAAGUGACUAGACUAACCAUUAAGGUUACUAGUAAACUAGUAGGUCGUCAGUUUUCCAAAACACCAAGUCAGUUUGUCUUUUUAGUGUUUGAAUCAUCAUGGCAUUUACUGCACAUAUCACAUGCAGACACACAAAACACCAUAGGCCAGACUGGACUCCUCGUUCAGACACAAUCUCACACACCAGUCUGUGCCAUUCCACUGGCCAUUAACAACCUUUCCUGUUUCUCUUUCCUUUUCUUUUUGUUUUGUGCCAUCACCGAUGACCAAACAGCAGCAAGAGAAGGGUUAUGGUUAAUAUUUCAUCAUGUGUUUUGAUUUGUGUGAUGUUUGAAUGCAACUAGGCUUAGUUAGAAAACUCUGCCCAGACUUCAGGUAUGAACUGCAUAGACUGUUGACUCUUUCCCAUUCUCAGGAAUACAUGGACAGUAACCCUCAGGUUACCCCUUCUUUCCCACAGAUGCUCAGCCCUUGAGUUGCUCUGAACACUGCGAACUGCAUCCCACUCUUCAGAGCAAAAGCGGGAUUGUUGUGCACGAGCACCAUGGGUAUAGGACAACUUCGGCCUACAUGUUAUCUCAGAAGCCUGACCGCAUGGUCUUCUGAAGAAAGGGAACGCCAAGACCCCUGGACCCCCGCAGCGACCUGCGGGGGUCGCUGCGGAGACCCUGCAUCUCCCACCUGAGGGCGUGGUUUGGACAUAGCCCAACUCGCAUCCCUCAUUGGCAGAGACCCGCACUGCACGACGGGUCGCGCGAUGUCACAGACUCUAUAAAACAUUGCGAUGCCCACCAAUCAUCGCUCUCCAGGAAAGAAACCCACUUUGAUCAGGUGGGUUCCUCUGAUCUACAAAGGAGGCAACCACUUCAAAAUCUAGACUUCAUCCACGGCGACGAUCACUCUAGAACCCAGAAGAAGUGACCGUGCACGCAGCUGAACCAGGCCCGAGGAUUCCCGACUUCGCCAGACGAAUCAGAAUCCGCUUAUUUUUUUCCUCUUCCUUGUGCGCGUUUGGAAACGCACACCGCGCUGGUACCGAGACAAGAGCCGCCGAGACGGAACACUCUGUCUAUUGAUUCCUGCAGAAGGAAAGAUCUGAACCCACAGUCUUUCAACCGAGUUGACCACCGCUCCGAUCCGAACCCCGGAGGACCGCGCACCCUGCCGCCAGUCGCUAGGAAGCGCCGCGGCUCCCGCCCCGCGCAUCCGAGGACGAACCUCACAUGCUUGUUCCCCCGCAAGGAGUACAUGUCCGCAAGGAUCGCAGAUGAUUCCCAACCUGGAGAGUCUCAUUAAGAGCCACAUGCACGGACAUGCUCGGAAAACACGUGCGCACAGAAUGUGUCCAAGUGCACAUCUGCACGUACACACGACCUUUGGAGACGGAACAGAUGUUCACAUUUGCAUGUGCGUGUAUUGUCACUCCCGCAGCUGAAGCUGAUCAGCGCCCAUCAGGGGAGGCGUGAUAUAGCUGUGCAGAGCCAGUGACAACGGGGGGAAACGGAGCUUCAGUGGG